rnacentral:rRNA from 1 species
GUUCUCAUGCCCGAGGUGUGGCCAGCAGCCCUUGGUUAGACCAGCGCAGGCGGAGUCUUACCGAUACGGGCCACAGGGGGUCCUACCACUUGUGGGGCAGCUUCGG